rnacentral:rRNA from 1 species
UACAGAGGUCUCAAGCGUUGUUCGGAUUCAUUGGGCGUAAAGGGUGCGUAGGCGGCGCGGUAAGUCGGGUGUGAAAUUUCGGAGCUUAACUCCGAAACUGCAUUCGAUACUGCGGUGCUUGAGGACUGGAGAGGAGACUGGAAUUCAUGGUGUAGCAGUGAAAUGCGUAGAUAUCGUAAGGAAGACCAGUGGCGAAGGCGGGUCUCUGGACAGUUCCUGACGCUGAGGCACGAAGGUCAGGGGAGCAAACGGG